rnacentral:lncRNA from 1 species
AUAUAUGCAGUUUAAUAUUUGUAAGUAUUUUUACUUAUUUAUUCAUCUAACAGGUGAACUACAUUUAUAUAUAUAUGCAGUAUCAUGUAUGGAUGCACAAACUAGCUUUUAGAUUAAUAUACUGAGAAGCUCAUUUUACACUGACUUUUGAAUGUUUUGAUAAAAAUUGAAAAUAUCUUAGUCGAACGAAUUGUAGAAUUUUGAAACUCGUACAACUGAACAGUUUCUAUUCAUAAAGAAUAUUAUUUUAACACGAACAACAACCUGCCACAACAUGCAAAAUUACAGUCGAUCAGAAAGGCAAAUCGCUUUAAAUACUUCACUAUUAAUAUAAAACAUAACUUAAAAAAAAUGGUAAGCAUCAGAUAUCAAGUAUUAUACUUUUCGAUUUAAAUGUAUUUGUUGUUUUUGAAUCGAAAGUAUUCAGUAAAGAAAAGAAAACAGUUAAUCAAUUUUAGGCGAACAGUGGUUUUAUUUUUUGUUGUAUUCAGCUGUACUAAGGAUUUAAAGGGAAUGUGUCUUUCUUGGUUCUUUCCAGGAGAUAAUUGCUAAAGGGUUUACAUUUGGCAGAACUUCUUGUAAAAUUGUUUCGUAAGUGUUCUUAUUAGCAACCCAAAUUACAAAAUACAUGUUAUACAAAUUAAAAUAGUUUUUGAUAUUGAAAGUUAGCUCAAUAAAAUUAUUUUCUCUACAAUAAUGUCAUACCUGUUCAAUUUAUCACCCAAGUUGUAUUGAUCUUCGUACACAUGUAUGUUAUCAAUGAUUUAAAAUCUAAUACUCAAUACCGACCAUAUAAUUAUCUUGACCAAAGGGAUUUCACUUGACCUUAUCUGGUUAAUUAUAACAGAUAAAUGCAUACAUUCUCCUAGUUAAAUUAAUGUUCAUAUUCUUAACUGGACUAGAUUUUUUAUUUUUGCAGGAUGACAUUUUUCCGAAAGGGGUAGCUUACCCUUUUUACAGUCUUCUGCGGUAAGGGUUAUAUCUAAAUCUGGCUUGUAUAUGUUAUUUAAUUUGAUUAUUUUUUAAAAUCAAUUUAAUCGUGCUGGAGUUCGAUUUGAAUAUAUUUUUAAUACGUAUUUUUAUAUGUCAAUUUAAUGGAAUUCCAAGUGACAUUUAUACAAAAUAGGGACGAAAAUAAACUGACAACGCCUGGCUAAAAAUGAAAGAAGGCAAACAGACAAACGAUAGAACACAUGACACAACAUAGAAAACUAUUGAAUAAGCAACACGAACCCCACCAAAACUAGGGAUGAUCUCAGGUGCUCCGGAGGAGACAAGGAAGCUAGCUAUUCUAACAGGUUUAAUUCACAGUUUACUACAUAAGGAAAAUCCUGUACCAAGUCAUGAAUAUAAUAGUUGUAUUUCAUAAGUUUUGUGUGUUUUAUUUUUCGAUCUCGCAAAGUUGAUAUAGGACUCCGUUUUGAUUUUUUUUCUUGGAGUUUGGUAUUUGUGUUAUUUCAUUUUGAUUUUAGCUAUGAUUUUAACCUCUUAUAUAACAGAUGAUUUUUUUUUAUAGUUCUGGUGAAUCCAAAGACUUCUUCAUUCUAUGAUUAGAGAACACGAAGCAAUACAUCAAGUGACUCAAAGGAGCCGUUUAAUAUAAGUAUUAAAGGAUACAUCCGGGACACUAGAUCAACACAUACGCAGCCAUUCGGCAAUCCUCGGUAGAAUCCGCUACUCUCCGGUACGGAAUCGGCCGAGUUGAGACGAAUGAUACGCAGCAACAAACACAGAAAGUAAAGGAUUAUCACUUGUAUUGUUAUUGUUCUUCUCAAAGUCACAGUUGGACUAUCACCAAGGAACACAACUAUCACGUUUAUGCAAGUUUAAGACGGCUCCUGGCAACUACCGGUAUCUUGUAACAUCUGUAAGUUGAGACAAUCUAAAUUUUGAAGGGGUUCAUAAUGGGUUUGUAUACCCUUCUGUAUUUCAAAUUCACACAAUCUCGUCCUGAUUUAAUAAUUGUCUUUGUCAAUAAAACAUAUACUUGCACCUUAC